rnacentral:lncRNA from 1 species
UCGGGCGAAAUUCUAGUUUUUUGGCCGUAAAAUGCAAAACAACGAGGAACGGCCACGGCGGAGCGGUGACUAUGGUUCCUUAGGUCGUAUUUGAUGGCCCGAAAUAAUUUUAGGCGAUCGGGGUCCGGGGGGACCGGACCCACUCAGAAGGCGUGGGCUAGAUAUAGCACACGAAUAUUUGGGAAUCGGACGGAAUUUUACUUUUUUGGCCGUAAAACGCAAAACAACGAGGAACGGCCAUGGCGGGGCGGUGACUAUGAUUCUUUAGGUCAUAUUUGAUGGCCUGGAAAAAUGUUAGGCAAUCCGGUUUCAGGGGACCCGGGCCCACUCGGAAGGCGUGGGCUAGAGCACACGAAAAUAUGGGAAUCGGGCGGUAUUCUAGUUUUUUGGUCGUAAAAAGCAAAAUAACGAGGAACGGUCAUGGCGGGGCGGGGACUAUGGUUCCUUAGGUCGUAGUUGAUAGCCCGGAAAUAUUUUUGGCGAUUGGGAUCCGGGGGGCCCGGACCCACUAGGAAGGCGUGGGCUAUUAGCACACGAAUAUAUGGGAAUCGGGCGG